rnacentral:rRNA from 4 species
GGGUUGUGAGGUUAAGCGACUAAGCGUACACGGUGGAUGCCCUGGCAGUCAGAGGCGAUGAAGGGCGUGCUAAUCUGCGAUAAGCGCCGGUAAGGUGAUAUGAACCGUUAUAACCGGCGAUACCCGAAUGGGGAAACCCAGUGUGAUUCGUCACACUAUCAUUAACUGAAUCCAUAGGUUAAUGAGGCGAACCGGGGGAACUGAAACAUCUAAGUACCCCGAGGAAAAGAAAUCAACCGAGAUUCCCCCAGUAGCGGCGAGCGAACGGGGAGGAGCCCAGAGCCUGAAUCAGCAUGUGUGUUAGUGGAAGCGUCUGGAAAGGCGCGCGAUACAGGGUGACAGCCCCGUACACAAAAGCGCAUGUGCUGUGAGCUCGAUGAGUAGGGCGGGACACGUGGUAUCCUGUCUGAAUAUGGGGGGACCAUCCUCCAAGGCUAAAUACUCCUGACUGACCGAUAGUGAACCAGUACCGUGAGGGAAAGGCGAAAAGAACCCCGGCGAGGGGAGUGAAAAAGAACCUGAAACCGUGUACGUACAAGCAGUGGGAGCACAGGUUUACCUGUGUGACUGCGUACCUUUUGUAUAAUGGGUCAGCGACUUAUAUUCUGUAGCAAGGUUAACCGUAUAGGGGAGCCGUAGGGAAACCGAGUCUUAAC